UACGUAGGUGGCAAGCGUUGUCCGGAUUUACUGGGCGUAAAGAGCGCGCAGGCGGUCGUUCAAGUCGCGUGUGAAAGCCCCCGGCUCAACUGGGGAGGGUCACGCGAUACUGAUCGACUCGAAGGCAGGAGAGGGUAGUGGAAUUCCCGGUGUAGUGGUGAAAUGACGUAGAUAUCGGGAGGAACACCAGUGGCGAAGGCGAGUUCCUAGACAGUUACUGACGCUGAGGCACGAAGGCCAGGGGAGCAAACGGG
rnacentral:rRNA from 1 species